AGCCUAGUUUUUUAUGCUUGCUUUUAUUUUCUAAUCUCAUUAGUGUAUUCUCUUUUCUUACUCUUUUCUUGGACUCUGCAUAAGGUGUUUACCCCAAAAGAAAACAGCAUGAGAAGUCCUCUCUUGCAACAAAGUCACAGAGUUGUGCCUCUAUGGUUUACAGUUUAUCAACUUUGGAUAGAAACAUUAAGGAUGCCACACAAGGUGGCAAGAAAAUUCUCAGAUGAAGGGACGAAGCCUGACCCGCCACCAGGCCUUCGACUCUUCUCCCGGAAACGCCGAAGUGGAAAGGAAAGCACGUUUUGAGCCGAGUUUCGAGGAUAGCCAAACCUAAACUGCAACCUGUAAUAGAAAAAGCUGCUCAUAACUCAAAACCUAAGUGGAAAGUAAAUUGCAGUGCGUGUA